ensembl:snoRNA small nucleolar RNA SNORA15
GCAUGGCUGAAUUCUGUAUUACUCUCUCAAUAGUGAAUGCAGUCAGACACCAUGCUAAAUUAUAAUUUUCACUCAUGGACUCAACAAAUGGAUAUGAGUGCUGCUCUGUGCCUCAUUCUUUUGUCCGGGUGAAUACAGAG